rnacentral:rRNA from 1 species
UACAGAGGUCUCAAGCGUUGUUCGGAUUCAUUGGGCUUAAAGGGUGCGUAGGCGGCGCGGUAAGUCGGGUGUGAAAUCUCGGAGCUUAACUCCGAAACUGCAUUCGAUACUGCCGUGCUUGAGGACUGGAGAGGAGACUGGAAUUUACGGUGUAGCGGUGAAAUGCGUAGAUAUCGUAAGGAAGACCAGUGGCGAAGGCGGGUCUCUGGACAGUUCCUGACGCUGAGGCACGAAGGCCAGGGGAGCAAACGGG